UCGCUGUUCAAGUUCAUCUGGUUCAAGAUUAACUCAAACUGGUUAACCCUACUCACUACUCAUGUUCAUCCUAACAACUCACCUAACACCUAUUCAUCUAAGGCCACCCAAAAGUUGUUCAUCAAAGGGUCUAUUCCUGGACAUUCACGACUCUCGACAUUCAUUAUGAUGAGGUUCGGUUGAGGAACGAAUGUGCGACUGUGCAAACAUAAGUUUAGGGCUUUUUUGUGUGACUAUGCAAAUGACAGCAGCACGACUGAGGUUCGUCCUAGGCUGACACUCACGCUCACCCAACAUCGACUGCGAUUCAUCCCCAACGCUCUCUAUCUCGACCCAACUUGCGAGUGUUUGAACGCCAUUUGUCGUGAGGAAAGCAAAGAUCGAACCCAACUCGCGACUUUGCGAACGAGGGUGGUAUGUUGGGGUCAUGAUUUCUCAUUUCAUAUUGUUCCCCUUUCAAUUAAGUCCUCUACUUUUCUUGGUUAUUGUUGUUUCUAAACGUCAGAAUCCCAAAGUUUAGACCGCAAUGUUUAUGAUGCUUACUCUUAGGUGGUUAAUGGAUGAAGCAAAAAAGUCAACAAAAUCUAGAUUUCUUAAAGAGGUGUCAAUGGUGUUGCUGAACAAUUUAUUGUCCUUACCUUUUGCCAUCAUCUUGAUUCUCUUUUUUGGAGAGUGGCAUUAUGUAAUACAUUCCUGAUUGAAUGUGUUUCUCUUCUUCAUAAUUCAAUCAUCCCUUUUGCCUCCCCACCAUUGUUUUCCUCUCGAUUUCCAGCGAUGUCGUUAAACUACUGAUGUUUUGGGUGGUUGCAACCGCCAGUGGACUGCUUGGACUCUCUAUCAGCUUCACCUCAAUGUGGUUCUUUCAUCAAACUGGUCCUACAACUUAUAGUCUUGUUGGCUCCUUGAACAAGAUUCCUAUCUCUAUUGCUGGAAUUUUAGUGUUCAAAGUUCCUCUUAGUGUAUCAAAUUUAUUCAGCAUUUUGUUUGGUAAUUCAUUAAGAACCAUUUCACUUUUUAUUUAUUUGGUAAUGACUACUUCCUUUUAAUCUUACUGAAACAAAAAUUGCACUCUAUUUUUAGGUCUUUUUGCUGGUGUACUCUUUGCAAGAGCCAAUAUUGUAAGACUCGAGGAAUUUAAAUAAUUAAUUGAAUAAUUAUUUAAUAAA